GACGAACGCUGGCGGCGUGCUUAACACAUGCAAGUCGAACGGAAAGGCCCUGCUUUUGUGGGGUGCUCGAGUGGCGAACGGGUGAGUAACACGUGAGUAACCUGCCCUUGACUUUGGGAUAACUUCAGGAAACUGGGGCUAAUACCGGAUAGGAGCUCCUGCUGCAUGGUGGGGGUUGGAAAGUUUCGGCGGUUGGGGAUGGACUCGCGGCUUAUCAGCUUGUUGGUGGGGUAGGGGCUUACCAAGGCUUUGACGGGUAGCCGGCCUGAGAGGGGGACCGGCCACAUUGGGACUGCGAGACGGCCCAGACGGCUACGUGAGGCAGCAGUGGGGAAUAUGGCACAAUGGGCGGAAGCCUGAUGCAGCAACGCCGCGUGCGGGAUGACGGCCUUCGGGUUGUAAACCGCUUUCGCCUGUGACGAAGCGUGAGUGACGGUAAUGGGUAAAGAAGCACCGGCUAACUACGUG
rnacentral:rRNA from 1 species